AUCUCUUUUCUCUUCAAUUCCUCCAAUUAGAAAAUGGGUGCCACUUCCAGGAAUACUCCAUUAUUAUUAUUUCUCUUAAUUCUUUUGAUCAUCACAUUUCUCUUCAUGUUUCCAGUCACUGCUCGAUUUGUAAGCGAGCACCCACACCCACCUCCACAUAAUGCUGUUGCAGCUCGUCCACCCGGAGGAGGAGGAUCAGGAGCUCCACAUUGCUGCUGAACUUGAGCGUCGCUACAAUUGUAGCACGGAUGCAAAGCAAAGAAGGAAGUGUGUGU